rnacentral:rRNA from 1 species
AUUCCGGUUGAUCCUGCCGGAGACUACCGCUAUCGGAGUCCGAUUUAGCCAUGCUAGUCCACCGAACCUUUGGUUCGGGGCGGAAAGCUGAGUAACACGUGGCCAACCUACCCUGUGGACAGGAAUAACCUCGGGAAACUGAGGAUAAUGCCUGAUAGCAGAACCAUGCUGGAAACGCAGGUUCUGUGAAAUGACACGUCGCCACAGGAUGGGGCCGCGGCUGAUUAGGUUGUCGGUGAGGUAACGGCUCACCGAGCCCGUAAUCAGUAGCAGCCGUGGGAGCGGUAGCUGCCAGUCGUGUUCUGAGACAAGAACACGGGCCCUACGGGGCGCAGCAGGCACGAAACCUUUACAAUGCACGCGAGUGCGAUAGGGGGACUCCGAGUGCGUUCUUCCCACAAGGAAGGACGCUUUUCUGCACUGUAAGGAGGUGCAGGAACAAGGGGUGGGCAAGACUGCUGCCAGCCGCCGCGGUAAUAGCAGCACCCCGAGUGGUAGUCGUUAUUAUUGGGCUUAAAGUGUACGUAGCCGGACCUGUAAGUCUGUUGUGAAAUCCACGCGCUUAACGCAGUGGAAGCGCAACGGAUACUACAGGUCUAGGGACCGGAGGACGCCGAGGCUAUUCCAUGGGUAGGAGUGAAAUCCUAAGAUCCAUGGAGGAGCACCAGUGGCGAAAGCGCUCGGCGACUACGGAUCCGACGGUGAGGUACGAAAGCCAGGGGAGCAAAACGGAUUAGAUACCCGUGUAGUCCUGGCCGUCAACAUUGUCCGCUCGACAUGGCCCAACCUUUGUGGUUUGGCUGUGUCCAAGUGAAAACGUUAAGCGGACCGCCUGGGUAGUACGGUCGCAAGGCUGAAACUUAAAGGAAUUGACGGGGGAGCACCACAACCGGUGGGGGCUGCGGUUUAAUUAGAUCAAACGCAGCGCACCCUACCAGAGCCGACAGCAGAAUGACGGUCAGCUUGAAGAGCUUACCCGACGCGCUGAGAGGAGCUGCAUGGCCGCCGUCAGCUCGUGCCGCGAGGUGUCCGGUUAAGUCCGGUAACGAGCGAGACCCGUACCCUAUGUUGCCACGGAGACACUAGCUGUCUUCGGCACUCGUGGGGGACCGCUGGCGAUAAGCCAGAGGAAGGAGCGGGCCACGGUAGGUCAGUAUGGCCCGAAUGCUCUGGGAUACACGCGGCCCACAAUGGCCGGUACAAACAGAAGCCACCCCGAGAGGGGAAGCUAAUCUGCCAAAACCGGUCCCAGUCCGGAUCGAGGCCUGCAACUCGGCCUCGUGAAGUCGAAAUCGGUAGUAGUCGCUGGUCAUCAUCUAGCGGCGAAUAAGUCCCUGCUCCUUGUACACACCGCCUGUCAAGUCACCCAAGUCAGGUUCAGACGAGCCUCCCACCUAGUGGGAAGCAAGUCUGAGCUUGGCAAGGGGGGCUAAGUCAUAGCAA